CUGGGGUAGCGGGACUCUCAUAACGAUUAAAGAACUUUAACCGAAGAGGACUGGAAAGUCCGGGCACAGAAGGUAAAACCCCUGUAGGUGAAAAGGUUGUUUAAUCAGAGAGGAUCCCAAGUACCACGGGACACGUGAAACCCCGUGGGAAUCCGGGAGGACCACCUCCUAAGGCUAAAUACUAGCUGGCGACCGAUAGUGAACCAGUACCGUGAGGGAAAGGUGAAAAGCACCCCGGGAGGGGAGUGAAAAAGAACCUGAAACCGUAUGCUUACAAGCAGUCGGAGCGCAAUGUAGCAAUACAGGCGUGACGGCGUGCCUUUUGUAGAAUGAACCGGCGAGUUGCGGUAACGAGCGAGGUUAAGCACUUAAGGUGCGAAGCCGCAGGGAAACCGAGUCUUAAAAGGGCGAAUAGUUCGUUGCUGCAGACCCGAAACCGCGUGAUCUACCCAUGUCCAGGGUGAAGCUAAGGUAAGACUUGGUGGAGGCCCGAACCGACCGACGUUGAAAAGUCGGCGGAUGAGGUGUGGGUAGGGGUGAAAUGCCAAUCGAACGCGGAGAUAGCUGGUUCUCCCCGAAAUAGCUUUAGGGCUAGCCUCAAGGGAUGAUUUACGGGGGUAGAGCACUGAUUAGGCUAGGGGCCCUACCAGGUUACCGAACCUUCUCAAACUCCGAAUACCGUAAAUUAACCUUGGGAGUCAGACUGCGAGUGAUAAGAUCCGUAGUCGAGAGGGAAACAGCCCAGACCGUCAGCUAAGGUCCCGAAGUCCGGACUAAGUGGAAAAGGAUGUGGGAUUGCAUAGACAACCAGGAUGUUGGCUUAGAAGCAGCCACCAUUUAAAGAGUGCGUAAUAGCUCACUGGUCGAGUGGCCCUGCGCCGAAGAUGUACCGGGGCUAAAGUCCGGCACCGAAGCUGCGGAUUGUGAAGUGAGAGGUGAGAGGUUAGAAGUGGGAAAGAUCUCAUCUUAUCAUGAACUGGAAGUAUACAGAGUUGGUUAUGAACUUGCGUUGCAGGUGCAUAAAUUAACUCAAAACUUUCCAGGAGAAGAGAAGUAUGAGUUAGGCAGCCAACUAAGGCGAGCGGCAGUAUCGAUUCCGGCAAAUAUUGCGGAAGGAUAUGGCCGAAAAAAAUCGUCGGCGGAAUUUAAGCAUUUUCUAAGAAAUGCGUUAGGUUCCAGUAAUGAAAUGUGUGUGCUGCUAAAUCUUUCAGCAGACCUGGGAUAUGAUGUAUCAAGAGAAAUUAUUGAACAAUAUGAUAUCCUUGGCAAACAGCUAUACAGGCUGAUUGAAAACUGGAAGUAAUCACACAUCCAACUUCUCACAUCUCACUUCCCAAUGGUAGGGGAGCGUUCUGUACGGGUCGAAGCUGUACCGUGAGGAGCAGUGGACUGUACAGAAGUGAGAAUGCCGGUAUGAGUACGCGAUAAGGCAGGUGAGAAUCCUGCCCGCCGAAAACCUAAGGUUUCCUGGGGAAGGCUCGUCCGCCCAGGGUAAGCCGGGACCUAAGCCGAGGCGUAAAGCGUAGGCGAUGGAAAAUCGGUUGAAAAUCCGAUGCCGCCAAUAGCCGUUUGAAGGAAGGGAUGACACAGGAGGGCAGGCUGAACCAGCCGUUGGUCGAGCUGGUCCAAGCGAGUAGGGAGAGAUGCAGGCAAAACCGCAUCUUGUGAUCCUGAGACGUGACGGGGAGCGAAAAUUAAGUAGCGAAGCAGCUGAUCCCACACUGUCAAGAAAAGUCUCUAACGAGGCGAAAUGGCGCCCGUACCGUAAACCGACACAGGUAGGAAGGGAGAGAAUCCUAAGGCGCGCGAGAGAACCCUUGUUAAGGAACUCGGCAAAAUGACCCCGUAACUUCGGGAGAAGGGGUGCCCCAUUAGCGUGAAGAGUGCACAUUCGGAGCGUGAAGGGGUCGCAGAGGAGAGGCCCAAGCGACUGUUUACCAAAAACACAGGUGCCUGCAAAGUGGAAACACGAAGUAUAGGUGCUGACGCCUGCCCGGUGCUGGAAGGUUAAGAGGAGAGGUUAGCGCAAGCGAAGCUUUGAAUCGAAGCCCCAGUAAACGGCGGCCGUAACUAUAACGGUCCUAAGGUAGCGAAAUUCCUUGUCGGGUAAGUUCCGACCCGCACGAAAGGCGUAACGAUUUGGG
rnacentral:rRNA from 1 species